GAACAACCCGAGCUCUCAGCAACGCGGAAAGAAACUGGCCAGCAACCUAGCUUAAAGUAUCCUCACAUACUGUGGCGACAACUCUGUGCACGGACCAAAGAAGGGGAAGCUGCGGGAGCCGAUGAAGUACCUCCUUGGUGGUCAAAUUCUGGAGGGCUAAAUGUGUGUGGGGGUGAAUGAUCACAAACGACCCUACUUGCGGUGUUGUUCCUGUGGAUGGUGACAAGUCCUACUGCUGGACGGAGCACCGCCUUUGGAGUUUCCAGUGCAUCAGCAUGGGCCUGAGGAUCACAUUCUCAUCAAAGGGUGGAAAGAAGGGAAACUCAAGCCAGCCUGGGAAGGACCCUACCUUGUGCUGCUAACCACUGAGACUGCUACUAGUAUGGCGGAAAGGGAUGGACACAUCACACCCGAGUCAAGCAAGCACUAUUACCCUCAGAAUCAUGGGCCAUUUUUCCUGGAUCGAUCCCUACCAAAUUAGAGCUAAGGAAAGCUUAGUCUAUCUCUCUUUUCCUUUCCUUUCCUUACCCAGUGCUUAUAUCCAUUACUAUUCCUACCACUAGCAACUCUAACCUCACUUUAGAGCACUUCUAUGGUCUAGGAGCAGAGGUCACUGGAAAGGAUCCUAUAGGUUUCUUUAAGGUGUGCUUUGUUCUGCCUCCUCCACCUCCUACGGCUGCCCCCUUCCCAAACCUACGAAAUCAAACUACGACUCACCUCAUGCCAAAUGACAACAGCAAGGUCUCAGUAGUAGAAAUAGGAGACCUAAGGCAAACCACAGCCAUUGAAACAGGGUAUAAAGAUGUAAAUGCCUAGUUAAAAUGGAUUAAUAUUCCAUCCACACGUUGAACAAAGGCAAUUGUUAUGCUUGUGUGCAGGGUGGGCUGGAGGCCCAGACUGUCCCCUUUCCACUAGGGUGGUCCUCCAGUCAACUGGGCGUGGGCUGCAUGGUAGCUCUUUUCCAGGAUUCUACAGCUUGGGGUAACAAAUCGUGCCAAGGUCUCUCUCUGCUAUAUCCCAAAGUUCGACACCCUGCAGGUCAGACCCCGAGGGCCACCCAGCUUCCAUCUCUCAACACUAAGCUCACUUCAUGUCUCCCAUGACAAGGAGGAAAUUUAGCGUUCCUUGAAGACCUGAAGGGAUGCAAUGAGCUUAAGAAUUUGCAAGAGCUUAUCAAUCAGUCAGCCCUUAUUCAUCCCUGACCAGAUGUGUAAUGGUAUUAUGGUGGACCUUUACUGGACACUCUGCCAAGUAACUGAAGUGGCACUUAUGCUUUAGUCCAAUUGGCUGUCCCUUUCACCCUGGCAUUUAAUGAACCAGAGAAAGGAAAAAUAAGACAUUAUAAAGCAAAAGAAGCCCCUUAUGGGUCUUUCCAUUCUCAUGUCUAUUUAGACACAAUUAGAGUCCCAUGGGGAAUACCAGAUCAAUUUAAAGCCCGAAAUCAAAUAGCUGAAGGAUUUGAGUCAAUAUUUUGGUGGGUGACAAUUAAUAAAAUGUAAAUUGGAUAAACUACAUCUAUUACAACCAAAAGCAAUCUAUUAACUACACCAGAGAUGCUGUUAAUGGAAUAGCUGAGCAAUUAGGGGCUACUAGCCAGAUGGCUUGGGAAAAAUAGGAUAGCCUUAGACAUGACAUUAGCAGAAAAAGAAGGAGUUUGUGUCAUAAUUAAAACUCAGUGUUGUACCUUCAUCCCAAACAACACUGCCCCUGAUGGAAGUAUAACAAAGGCAUUUCAAGGUCUGACUGCUCUGUCCAAUGAGUUAGCUAACAACUCAGGGGUAAAUGACCCUUUUACAGGAUGGCUAGAAAAGUGGUUCAGUAAAUGGAAAAGAAUAACAGCCUCAAUUCUUACUUCCCUCACAGCCGUAAUAGGUGUACUUAUUCUUGUCAGGUGCUGUGUCACACUA
rnacentral:lncRNA from 1 species